AUUGAACGCUGGCGGCAGGCCUAACACAUGCAAGUCGAGCGAGCGGCGCACGGGUGAGUAAUGUCUGGGAAACUGCCUGCUGGAGGGGGAUAACUACUGGAAACGGUAGCUAAUACCGCAUACCAUCGGAUGUGCCCCGAUGGGAUUAGAUAGAAGGUGGGGUAACGGCCCACCUAGGCGACGAUCCCUAGCUGGUCUGAGAGGAUGACCAGCAACACUGGGACGGAGACACGGGCCAGACUCCGACGGGAGGCAGCAGUGGGGAAUAUUGCACAAUGGGCGCAAGCCUGAUGCAGCCAUGCCGCGUGGAUGAAGAAGGCCUUCGGGUUGGAAAGUACGUUCAGCGGGGAGGCGUUACCCGCAGAAGAAGCACCGGCUAACUCCGUGCCAGCCGCCGCGGUAAUUC
rnacentral:rRNA from 1 species